UGACGCGUAGUAUAACGGUAGUACACCUCACUACGGAUGAUGGAAUAGAGGUUCGAGUCCUCUCGCGUCAG
rnacentral:tRNA from 1 species